ACCUGUACGCUUUGGCAAAAUGACACCAAAAUUGAGACACACAUGUAUCUCAAUAAGAUCUACAAAAAAGUCAGUGCGGGCGUAUCUGUCAAAUGUACGGUUAAAGGGUUAUUCCGCAUUUUUUGCCGAUCCGCACACAUUGGAAUUUCGCUAACUCCUCCGAAGGCUUUCGUUCCACCGGCACCACAUUUUCUCAGGCCAAUCUACACCCCAUGGCCAUUAAAAGUUAUUCAAAUCAUGACGCUGCACCCCACGGUUUAGGUUCUAGGGGGCGCCAAAGAUAACCGUAAAAUCCACAUAUUUAAAAGUCUUAUAACUUUUUAUUUUUGUCCCCACUGGCCUCCAAGUUUUCUAGGAUGAUGCAAUGUCCAGCCAUCAACACAUUUGUGAAGGAAUUUUUACUCGCCAAAAGAGCGCCCCCCCAUGGCAGGAGAAAAAAGUCCAUUUUUUCUUGUCCACUAAGGUGAAAAUACACAUUGUUGAGUGCUACACCUGUAUGUUUUGUCGUAUUGACACAAAAUUUUACAUACACGUGUCUUUCAAUAAGAUCUUCGAAAAAGUCAAUGGCCACGUAUCUGUAAAAUGUACGGUUAAAGGGUUAUUUCGCAUUUUUUGCAGAUUUGCACACAUUGGAAUUUCGCUAACUCCUCCGAAGGCUUUCGUUCCACCGGCACCACAUUUUCUCAGGCCAAUCUACACCCAUGGCCAUUAAAAGUUAUUCAAAUCAUGACGCUGCACCCCACGGUUUAGGUUCUAGGGGGCGCCAAAGAUAACCCUAAAAUCCACAUAUUUAAAAGUCUUAUAACUUUUUAUUUUUGUCCUCACUGGCCUCCAUGUUUUCUAGGAUGAUGCAAUGUCCAGCCAUCAACACAUUUGUGAAGGAGUUUUUUCUCGUUAAAAGAGCGCCCCCCCCAUGGCAGGAGAAUAAAGUCAAGUUUUUCCUGUUCAUCAUUCAAUGGCUCAAACGCACUGCUCUCUCGGCAAAAGCGAAAGGAGGAGCAACUUGCCAUUUGGAUAUAUCUUAGCUGUGUUUGUGCCCUCACUCAUGGUCCAGACUUUUUUCAAAUAGGACAUGGAGUUUUUCUGCAGCGAGCGUUUUGGUAGAAACUGCGCCUCCCGUUCAUUAUAAUGGUAAAUGACCACAAACAAGUGCGCACACCAUCUUUGGACCUUGAGUGUGACGCGAUCGGGUGGGGGAGGCGGUCGUGCUGGGGGCGGCGUGACACGGCUCGGGCCCGCCAGUGCCCCAACGGGGCCCUAGUCUUCUUCUUCUUAUUAUUAUUUUUCUGCCCCUUUGAACUGGAAAAUGGCCCACUUCCCACUGGUGAAAACUCAUGAAAUUUGGCAGGACGACCGGGCCUGGUGAAAAAUUCGAUAUUCUGAAGUCACCCAAACAAUCAAAUGCAAAAUGGCUCCAUAGCGCCCCCUAAGGUGAAAAAUUCACAUGAUUGAGUGUCACGCCUGUACGCUUUGUCAAAAUGACACAAAAUUUGACACACACGUGUAUCUCAAUAAGAUCUACAAAAAAGUCAGUGCGGGCGUAUCUGUCAAAUGUAUGUUUAAAGGGCUAUUUCGCAUUUUUUGCCGAUCCGCACACAUUGGAAUUUCGCUAACUCCUCCGAAGGCUUUCGUUCCACCGGCACCAAAUUUGCUCAGGCCAAUCUAACCCCCAUGGCCAUUCAAAGUUGUACAAAUCAUGACGCUGCACCCCACGGUUUACGUUGUAGGGGGCGCCAAAGAUAACCCAAAAAUCCACAUUCUUACAAGUCUUAUAACUUUUUAUUUCUGUCCUCACUGGCCUCCAAGUUUUCUAGGAUGAUGCAAUGUCCAGCCAUCAACACAUUUGUGAAGGAAUUUUUACUCCCCAAAAGAGCGCCCCCCCAUGGCAGGAGAAAAAAGGCCAUUUUUUCUUGUCCUAUAAGGUGAAAAUACACAUUGUUGAGUGUCACGCCUGUACGCUUUGUCAUAUUGAAACAAAAUUUGAUAAUCACGUGUAUCUCAAUAAGAUCUACGAAAAAGUCAAUGCGCACGUGUCUGCAAAAUGUACGGUUAAAGGGCUAUUUCGCAUUUUUGGUUGAUUCGCACACAUUGGAAUGUGGCUAACUCCUCCUAAAGCUUUCGUUCCACCGGCACCAAAUUUGCUCAGGCCAAUCUACACCCCAUGGCCAUUAAAAGUUGUACAAAUCAUGAUGCUGCACCCCACGGUUUACGUUCUAGGGGUCGCCAAAGAUAACCCAAAAAUCCACAUUCUUAAAAGUCUUAUAACUUUUCAUUUUUGUCCUCACUGGCUUCAAAGUUUUCUAGGAUGAUGCAAUGUCCAGCCAUCAACACAUUUGUGAAGGAAUUUUUUCUCCCUAAAAGAGUGCCCCCCCAUGGCAGGAGAAAAAGUCAAGUUUUUCCUGCCCAUCGCUCAAUGGCUCAAACACAUCGCUCUCUCUGGAAAAAACGAAAGGAGGAGGAACUUGCCAUUUGGAUAUAUCCUAGCUGUGUGUGCCCUCACUCAUGGUCCAGACUUUUUUCAAAUAGGACAUGUAGUUUGUCUGCAGCAAGCGUUUUGGUAGAAACUGCGCCUCCCAUUCAUUAUAAUGGUAAAUGACAACAGACAAGUGCGCACACCAUCGUUGAACCUUGAGUGUGACGCGAUCGGGAGGGAGAGGCGGUCGUGUUGGGGGCGGCGUGACACAGCUCGGGCCCGCCAGUGCCCCAACGGGGCCCUAGUUUGUUAUUAUUAUUAUUUUUCCUCCCCUUUGAACUGGAAAAUGGCCCACUUCCCACUGGCGAAAACUCAUGAAAUUUGGCAGGACGACCGGGCCUGGUGAAAAAUUUGAUAUUCCGAAGUCGCCCAAACAAGAAAAUGCAAAAUGGCUCCAUAGCGCCCCCUAAGGUGAAAAUUCACACUAUUGACUGUCACGCCUGUACGCUUUGUCAAAAUGACACAAAAAUUGACACACACAUGUAUCUCAAUAAGAUCUACAAAAAAGUCAGUGCGGGCGUAUCUGUCAAAUGUACGGUUAAAGGGUUAUUUCGCAUUUUUUGCCGAUCCGCACACAUUGGAAUUUCGCUAACUCCUCCGAAGGCUUUCGUUCCACCGGCACCACAUUUGCUCUGGCCAAAUUACACCCCAUGGCCAUUAAAAGUUAUUCAAAUCAUGACGCUGCACCCCACGGUUUACGUUCUAGGGGGCGCCAAAGAUAACCCAAAAAUCCACAUUUUUAAAAGUCUUAUAACUUUUUAUUUUUGUCCUCACUGGCCUCCAAGUUUUCUAGGAUGAUGCAAUGUCCAGCCAUCAACACAUUUGUGAAGGAAUUUUUACUCCCCAAAAGAGCGCCCCCCCAUGGCAGGAGAAAAAGUCAAGUUUUUCCAGCCCAUCGCUUAAUGGCUCAAACGCAUUGCUCUCCCGCUAAAACCAAAAGGAGGAGCAACUUGCCAUUUGGAUAUGUCCUAGCUGUGUUUGUGCCCUCACUCAUGGUCCAGAGUUUUUUCAAAUAGGACAUGUAGUUUGUCUGCAGCGAGCGUUUUGGUAGAAACUGUGCCUCCCAUUCAUUAUAAUGGGAAAUGACCAAAGACAGGUGCGCACACCAUCUUUGGACCUUGACUUUGACGUCACAGUUUGAGAUACAAAUGUUAUUUGACCUCUGACCUUUGGUGGACACCCUAACCUUUCAACCCGCGAAAACGGCGUUUCAAUAGCUCUUACGGCUUUCCUACAAAUACACUUUGUUCAGCUACUCCUACUGUCCUUCAAGCUCUGCUUCUCAGAUCAUCAAAGAGUGUGCACGUGUGUAAUGAGCGCAUAUUGAAUGUUAAUUAUGUUAAAUAUGUUAAUUAUUAGAAGAAAAAACAACAACAGUCCUUUUGGACAAAAUUUCUUUUUAUUACAGAAUUAGAAUAAUGGAAGCAUAGUCCAAGGAAACCAUUCAAGUGAUGUCAUACCUCAUAAUUUAUUGAGAUGUUGGCUAGUCUGGGCAUUUCUUCAUUCAUCAGGUUUCCUGCAUGCAUACUAACAGAGCACAUCAGUAGCAGUGAGUGAUAAGUAUGAGUGUGUCAUUGUGUAAGAAAGAAAGUGGUUUACUUACACAUCCAUAGAAAAUAGGUGGUUGAGCACAGCACGCAAACAAAGCUUUGCCACAACGGUUGAACUUCCCAAGUAGCUGAUACCAAGGUCACACAAUCAGGGUGAGCAAAGGUCAAACCAGGCCAGGCACUCACGAGGCUGGCUGUGGCAAGUGUAAGUGAAAGCAACACGCAAUGGCAGGAAGAACAGCAAACACCAAUGAAGGAAAAGGGUCUUUGCAGUGAUGGGCGUCACCAGAGAGGGCGAUGGCCAGAGGGCACGAAUGGGACGGGGAGGCGGUCGCGCUGGGGGCGGCGCGACGCGGCUCGGGCCCGCCAGUGCCCCAACGGGGCCCUAGUUAUUUUUCCUCCCCUUUGAACUGGAAAAUGGCCCACUUCCCACUGGCGAAAACUCAUGAAAUUUGGCAGGACGACCGGGCCUGGUGAAAAAUUUGAUAUUCUGAAGUCGCCCAAACAAUACAAUGCAAAAUGGCUCCAUAGCGCCCCCUAAGGUGAAAAAUUCACCUGACGCCUGUACGCUUUGUCAAAAUGACACAAAAAUUGACACACACAUGUAUCUCAAUAAGAUCUACAAAAAAGUCAGUGCGGGCGUAUCUGUCAAAUGUAUGGUUAAAGGGUUAUUUCGCAUUUUUUGCCGAUCCGCACACAUUGGAAUUUCGCUAACUCCUCCGAAGGCUUUCGUUCCACCGGCACCACAUUUGCUCAGGCCAAUCUACACCCCAUGGCCAUUAAAAGUUAUUCAAAUCAUGACGCUGCACCCCACGGUUUAUGUUCUAGGGGGCGCAAAAGAUAACCCUAAAAUCCACAUAUUUCAAAGUCUUAUAACUUUUUAUUUUUGCCCUCACUGGCCUCCAAGUUUUCUAGGAUGAUGCAAUGUCCAGCCAUCAACACAUUUGUGAAGGAAUUUUUACUCCCCAAAAGAGCGCCCCCCCAUGGCAGGAGAAAAAAGUCCAUUUUUUCUUGUUCCAUAAGGUGAAAAUUCACACUAUUGACUGUCACGCCUGCACGCUUUGUCAAAAUUACACAAAAAUUGACACACACAUGUAUCUCAAUAAGAUCUACAAAAAAGUCAGUGCGGGCGUAUCUGUCAAAUGUACGGUUAAAGGGUUAUUGCGCAUUUUUUGCCGAUCCGCACACAUUGGAAUUUC